CUACAGCCUUAGUGUGAGGCCCUAGGGAUUGAUCCAAGUAGAUUUCUACAUCAAUUUCCCCUAGUUUGAUAUCAGAUUGUAAUUAAUCUCCACUAACCAAGGUUUUAGUGUAUUAAUCCAAUUUUAAUUAACUCUGAAAACUAAAUUAAAUUAAAUUAUGAAAGGGGAACUUGGGUUAGAUACAUUGAGAUAACGUGAAGCUCAUCUUCUUCCCUAGUCUCAUGACUGAACUCAGCGACGGCACGGCGAAUCUGUCUUCUCCGUCCGGCCUUUGUUCCGUUUGUCGCCGUAAACAACCAAACGCAACGCCUUCCUCUCCGUCUCAUCUCUCGCCGUCGCUCUCCAACUCACACAUCUCUUUCGUCUCCGAUCAGUCUCUCUUCGUCUCAGAUUCUCUCUCUAUCGCCUCUUCCCUCCCGCAAUCUCUCCGUUGCAGUUUGAUUCGCUUCGCUCAUCUCUCAUCUUCAUGUUCAACGAGGAAAGCUUGGUGCUCCUUCAGAUGCGAAAAUGGAGAAAUCCAGAUCUUAUCAUUCCAAAUCUUCAGAGAUACUGAAGCGAUGAAGCUUCAAACGUGUUGAAGUUUGUUGCUCUGAGAUUGGUGUUCUCGCUGCCUGAUAAUUCAGCGUGGUAGAUUUGAAGAUUGAUUGAAGGUUUCUUCUGGUGAAUCGUGAAGAGUGGAUAUUGGUGAUUAUCGGAGAAGGAUUGAAGUUAUGGUGGUUAUGGAGAGGAUUGAAGAUGAAGGUUGUUGAAGAGAGGAAGACAAAGAGAGAGUUCUCAUAUAAGACUUCUUUCAAUUGAAGAAUGAAGAGAGAGAGUUCUUUUUGGUGAUUUGAGAGUGAAGGUUGAAGAAAAAUCAAAGGAGAGGGAGAAGAUGAAUUGCAGAGAAUAUGGAGAGAAUUGAGGGAGAAGAAUAUGGAGGAAUUGAAGUUGUUACGGUUCUGUUAUCAAGCCUAGUUUAUUUGGAGCGUAGAGCAGCGGUUCUGUUUGCUGCUGAACUGGUUUGGGUUGGUUCGGAUCAACAUAAAGGGAUGCUGUGCAGUCGAGUUUUGGCUUAUGGUUUAUGCAGAUUAGUUUUUUUUGCCUUGAAUCCGUAGCGGGAUCCGUUUUUAGUUCAGAAUUGUUGCAAGCAUAGAUUCAGUGUGGAUGGAAUGGAGUUUGAGAUAUCAGAAUCUUUGAAGUAUGAAGAAGAAUAGUGUUAUAGUUGACUUUUGUCAAAGCUUACAAUUUCUUAAUUUUCAUGUAUUUAUAAUAUUUUGCCUCCUUUUUGUAAGUCUGAAUGAUAAUGGACGAUAUACAUCUUGGGACUUGUGUGGCGCCACAUGUGAAUGAAAAUCUUCCAUUUUGAGCAAGCUUAAACUGUUUCUUGAUAAAUCACUCAAGAGCUUGGAUCCAA